GCAGAGAAACUUGUGGCCAGGCUUCAGUAUCGAAGAAGGAACUUUGUCUGGGCAACUGGGAGAUUUGCAGUUCUUCAGGCAGCCAACCAAGUCACUGGGCUUAGCGUCAUCUCAAAUGGCUUGCAAACUGAGGCAGAGAAUAGAGAGGUAUUGGUUUGAUUUCAUCAAAUCUUCUGGUCUGUUGAAUUAUGGUCGGUGGUGGAGGUAGUUUGGUAAACUGUCAGUGUAGAACAGGAAAGGCAGGGAGAGACUGGGGUGCCCUCACUGGAUGAAGACCUGUCACACUUGACCCGAUUACUCCAUGUUGGACACCAUGACCUGGAGAAUUCCCGACCUGGAUGGCUUCGAUGUUGGACCAACGACACUCUGCCCAGCAGACUCAUCCAACCCAGGACCCCCUGCCACACAUCACAUUUUUCAGCCUGUAUUUGUUACCCCUUUUUAUAAAAGUAAAAAUAAUUUAUCUUAA